AUGAUUUGGAGAUUGGCGAAUCUGAAGAUGACGGAGCUGGAGAUCCUGGGCAUGAACUUCGUCUGCGUCCUCUCGGCGCUGUCGGACGCCAAGAUACCGGAGAAAGAAUGCCUUCUCCCGCUCGUCUCCAAGCUCCUCGGCUACUGCAUCGUGGCCGCCUCCACCACCGUCAAGCUCCCGCAGGCGCAUGACGACCAUGGCAAUUGGCGCCAAAUCCCGGCUUUCACUGGAACAUGUUUGAAGAAAUGCCUGUCACCUAGUACUUCAAGCCGGUGGCCACCUUCUUCUUCACCCAGAAGAAGGAUAAUGAGAUGUUGA
rnacentral:rRNA from 1 species